rnacentral:rRNA from 1 species
UAGCGAAGGGGCUAGCGUUGCUCGGGAAUGAGCUGGGCGUAAAGGGCGCGUAGGCGGAUGGCACAGUCAAGAUGGUGAAAUUCCCGGGCUUUAACCGUGGGGCUGCAUUUUGAUACGUUGUGAUCUAGAGUGAGGAAGAGGGUCGUGGAAUUCCCAGUGUAGAGGUGAAAUUCGUAAGAUAUUGGGAAGAACACCAGUGGCGAAGGCGCUCUACUAGGCCGUGACUGACACUGAGAGACGAUACUAGGGGAGCGAAUAG